AACCAAUAAUAUGCUCAUC
rnacentral:snRNA from 1 species